AUUGAACGCUGGCGGCAGGCCUAACACAUGCAAGUCGAGCGAGCGGCGGACGGGUGUGUAAUGUCUGGGACACUGCCUGCUGGUGGGGGAUAACUACUGGAAACGGUAGCUAAUACCGCAUACCAUCGGAUGUGCCCAGAUGGGAUUAGCUAGUAGGUGGGGUAAAGGCUCACCUAGGCGACGAUCCCUAGCUGGUCUGAGAGGAUGACCAGCCACCCUGGAACGGGGACACGGUCCAGACUCCUACGGGAGGCAGCAGUGGGGAAUAUUGCACAAUGGGCGCAAGCCUGAUGCAGCCAUGCCGCGUGUAUGAAGAAGGCCUUCGGGUUGUAAAGUACUUUCAGCGGGGAGGCGUUACCCGCAGAAGAAGCACCGGCUAACUCCGUGCCAGCAGCCGCGGUAAUUC
rnacentral:rRNA from 1 species